ensembl:lncRNA
CAAUGAUCAUCGCGCGGGAGACAGGAUACACCCUGGACAGAGCAACAGGCCUGCUCUGUAUGUGUUAUCACCACAACUCAUGAGGGGUUUCUACUCAGUGUCUCGAUGAUGAUGUUGAUCCUGAUGGUGAUGGUGAUGCAAAUUUAACUCAAGGCAAAGCGGAGAUGGAGAACAGAGUGAGCCUCAGUGCUGCCACCUAGCAGACAGAAUUGGUGGUGAUAGAAAACCCGCUGGAGUUGUACCGAGUGGAAGUGGAGGUGCUGGAUGUGAACGACAACGUGCCGAGCUUUCCGUGGAGCGAGUUUAACCUGGAGAUCACGGAAUCAGCCGCGCCAAGCUCGCGCUUUCCGCUGGAGAUGACCUUCCCU